AGCGAACGCUGGCGGCAGGCUUAACACAUGCAAGUCGAGCGGGCACUUCGGUGUCAGCGGCGGACGGGUGGGUAACACGUGGGAACGUACCCGUUGGUUCGGAAUAACGCUGGGAAACUAGCGCUAAGACCGGAUACGCCCUUUUGGGGAAAGGCUUGCUGCCGAAGGAUCGGCCCGCGUCUGAUUAGCUAGUUGGUGGGGUAAUGGCCUACCAAGGCGACGAUCAGUAGCUGGUCUGUGAGGAUGAUCAGCCACACUGGGACUGAGACACGGCCCAGACUGCUACGGGAGGCAGCAGUGGGGAAUAUUGGACAAUGGGCGCAAGCCUGAUCCCGCCAUGCCGCGUGAGUGAUGAAGGCCGUAGGGUUGUAAAGCUCUUUUGUCCGGGACGAUAAUGACGGUACCGGAAGAAUAAGCCCCGGCUAACUUCGUG
rnacentral:rRNA from 1 species